GGAUAUUAGUGCCUAGGUACCCCUGGCCCUGGAUACCGGUGGGGAUCAGGAUCUAAGGUCCCCGGGGCCCUGGAUAUCGGUGGGGAUUAGUGUCUAAGGUCCCUGGGGCCCUGGAUACCGGUGGGGAUCAGUGUCUAAGGUCCCCGUGGUCCUGGAUACCGGUGGGGAUCAGUGUCUAAGGUAACCCUGGCCCUGGAUACCGGUGGGGAUCAGUGUCUAAGGUCCCCGGGGCCCUGGAUACUGGUGGGGAUCAAUGUCUAAGGUCCCCAUGGCCCUGGAUACCGGUGGGGAUCAGUGUCUAAGGUCCCCGGGGCCCUGGAUGCCGGUGGGGAUCAGCGUCUAAGGUCUCCAUGGCCCUGGAUACCGGUGGGGAUCAGUGUCUAAGGUCCCCGGGGCCCUGGAUA